AAAGGAAUUGACGGGGGCCCGCACAAGCGGUGGAGCAUGUGGUUUAAUUCGACGCAACGCGAAGAACCUUACCAGGGCUUGACAUCCCCUGACAACCCAAGAGAUUGGGUGUUCAUCCUUCGGGAUGACAGGGAGACAGGUGGUGCAUGGUUGUCGUCAGCUCGUGUCGUGAGAUGUUGGGUUAAGUCCCGCAACGAGCGCAACCCUUAUCCUUAGUUGCCAGCAUUUAAGGUGGGCACUCUAGGGAGACUGCCGGUGACAAACCGGAGGAAGGUGGGGAUGACGUCAAAUCAUCAUGCCCUUUAUGUCCUGGGCUACACACGUGCUACAAUGGCCUGUACAGAGGGUAGCGAAGCCGUGAGGUGGAGCCAAUCCCAAAAAGCAGGUCUCAGUUCGGAUUGCAGGCUGCAACUCGCCUGCAUGAAGUCGGAAUCGCUAGUAAUCGCGGAUCAGCAUGCCGCGGUGAAUACGUUCCCGGGCCUUGUACACACCGCCCGU
rnacentral:rRNA from 1 species